CUGAAAGGAAGAACACUUUCUUUGUUUCUCAUGCAUGGAAGCCCAACCCACUCUCAACUUUUAACAUCCCCUCUCUCAAGUUUCUCACACCAAAAAUCACUUCUAAUCUCAUACAAAACUGAUCCCCUUUUAUGAAGGAACCAGAUCUAGGGUUUCAGGGUUAGAUCUUGAAACUUUUUCAAGAUCAUACAGCGGAAGACUAAAAUAAAUCAAAAUUUAUUUUCUAAAAUUAAAAAAUCUCUAGAU
rnacentral:lncRNA from 1 species